rnacentral:lncRNA from 1 species
CUAAGUCAAAUCCCAGUUCAGCAUAUAAACUUUAUCUAAAAUCAUUCAAUUAUGCUAUAAAUUCAGAUUUUAUAUAAAACAUGCAAAUCCACGAAUUCGAGCUACUAAUAUGAUGAUCACGACAAGAAGCUAUACAUGCUGAAAUUUCUACGACUUAGGAGGAAUUCCGACGAUUUCGGUAAAUAUUAACCCACCUCAAACGCUCGUCC